rnacentral:rRNA from 1 species
CCUACGGGAGGCAGCAGUGGGGAAUAUUGCACAAUGGGCGCAAGCCUGAUGCAGCAACGCCGCGUGAGGGACGACGGCCUUCGGGUUGUAAACCUCUUUUAGUAGGGAAGAAGCGAAAGUGACGGUACCUGCAGAAAAAGCACCGGCUAACUACGUGCCAGCAGCCGCGGUAAUACGUAGGGUGCAAGCGUUAUCCGGAAUUAUUGGGCGUAAAGAGCUCGUAGGCGGUUUGUCGCGUCUGCUGUGAAAACUGGAGGCUCAACCUCCAGCCUGCAGUGGGUACGGGCAAACUAGAGUGCGGUAGGGGAGAUUGGAAUUCCUGGUGUAGCGGUGGAAUGCGCAGAUAUCAGGAGGAACACCGAUGGCGAAGGCAGAUCUCUGGGCCGUAACUGACGCUGAGGAGCGAAAGCAUGGGGAGCGAACAGGAUUAGAUACCCUGGUAGUCCAUGCCGUAAACGUUGGGCGCUAGAUGUGGGGACCAUUCCACGGUUUCCGUGUCGCAGCUAACGCAUUAAGCGCCCCGCCUGGGGAUACGGCCGCAAGGCUAAAACUCAAAUGAAUUGACGG